rnacentral:rRNA from 1 species
AUUGAACGCUGGCGGCAGGCCUAACACAUGCAAGUCGAACGGUAACAGGAAGAAGCUUGCUUCUUUGCUGACGAGUGGCGGACGGGUGAGUAAUGUCUGGGAAACUGCCUGAUGGAGGGGGAUAACUACUGGAAACGGUAGCUAAUACCGCAUAACGUCGCAAGACCAAAGAGGGGGACCUUCGGGCCUCUUGCCAUCGGAUGUGCCCAGAUGGGGUUAGCUAGUCGGUGGGGUAACGACUCACCUAGGCGACGAUACCUAGCUGGUCUGAGAGGAUGAACAGCCACACUGGAACUGAGACACGGUUCAGACUCCUACGGAAGGCAGCAGUGGGGAAUAUUGCACAAUGGGCUCAAGCCGGAUGCAGCCAUGCCGCGUGUAUGAAGAAGGCCUUCGGGUUGUAAAGUACUUUCAGCGGGGAGGAAGGGAGUAAAGUUAAUACCGUUGCUUAUUGAAGUUACCCACAGAAGAACCAACGGCUAACUCCGUG